rnacentral:rRNA from 1 species
CCUACGGGCGGCUGCAGUGGGGAAUAUUGGACAAUGGGGGCAACCCUGAUCCAGCCAUGCCGCGUGUGUGAAGAAGGCCCUCGGGUUGUAAAGCACUUUCAGUGAGGAAGAACGCCUGGUGGUUAAUACCCAUCAGGAAAGACAUCACUCACAGAAGAAGCACCGGCUAACUCCGUGCCAGCAGCCGCGGUAAUACGGAGGGUGCGAGCGUUAAUCGGAAUUACUGGGCGUAAAGCGCGCGUAGGUGGCUUGAUAAGCCGGUUGUGAAAGCCCCGGGCUCAACCUGGGAACGGCAUCCGGAACUGUCAAGCUAGAGUGCAGGAGAGGAAGGUAGAAUUCCCGGUGUAGCGGUGAAAUGCGUAGAGAUCGGGAGGAAUACCAGUGGCGAAGGCGGCCUUCUGGACUGACACUGACACUGAGGUGCGAAAGCGUGGGUAGCAAACAGGAUUAGAUACCCUAGUAGUA